GCCGGGCCCGGCGGCACCGCCGCGCUCCAGCCCGCGAAACGCCGCGACGGCUGCGGAGGCUCGUCCCGGGUCCUGCCGCCGGGCGUUCCCUGGGUCGGAGCAACGGAACGGCGGCACGGGGCGUACCGGAGCCGCCGCCGCGACACCGGACAGCGCCGCGGCGCCUCUCCGCGGCUCGGCGCAGCCCCGGCGCUACCCGCAGCCGGCCAGGACCGGGACCGUCGGGGCGCCGGGAGCGCAGAACCGGGGCCGCCGCUCCCUGCCCGAGCCGAGCCGGCUGCGCGUCCCGGGGCGCACGGAGCGGGCCCCAGCCCCGGGGCCGUCAUGGGGCCGCGCGGGGCCGCUCCCGGGUCCCAGGGCUCUCCGGGGCGCAGCGGCUUCGUUCCCCCCGCACCCGCCGCUGCCAGGGCGGACCGGCCGCGGUCCCGCCGAGCCCACCGAUCACGGAGCAAACGGAUCCCGCGCCCCGGCACCCUCCCUUCCCGGGCCACGGACCCUUCCACUGUUCCCGGUGCUGGCUGACCCUGGCUACAGCAGCCCCGCCGUUCCCGACAGCACGCGUCCCGCUUCCCACGGACCCGCCGCUCGCGGUAGCACCGACCCCAGCCCUUCCCGCCCCCCCCGCCGUUCCCGGGGCACGCCCGUACCUGGCUCGGAGGAGCGGGACCGGGUGGCCGGGGCCGGGCAGCGCCGCGGAGCCGCCCGCGCGCGGGGUGCGACGGCGCCGGUCGGGGCGGGCUCGCCCGGUCCCGUUCUCCUGCCGGUGCCUCUCUGGCCGGCCCCGCGGCUCGCCCCGGGCGGUAACGGGCAGCGCAGAGAUCGCGAGCCGGGCCGCGGGGCCUCCCGGCGACUAUCGCGACAGCCGCGCCGUGGGUGGCGGGGCCGGGACGUGUGUGGCGGGGCCGGUGGUUCCGCGCCGCGGCUGCCGGGACGGGGUGCCGGGCUCCCCGGCGGGCCCCGGUUCAGGGCGAGGGCGGCGGGUCACGUCCCCGGGGCAGGGGCCGGCGGGGGAGGGCGGCCGCCCGGCCACCCUGGCGCCACCGGUCUGGGGCAAAUGACAUUACCGGGGCCUGCGCCUGUAAAUCACGGCAGCACCGGGAGCCGCAGCUGCUGCAUCCCGGGGGCACGGCCAGGCCCAGGGGCACUGGUGGACCCGGGGCUCCGCACACACCGUGGGCACCGGGCACACCCGCACUCAGCGGGACCCACUGCGGUGUGGGGAGACCGGCCCGGCCGUGGCAGCUCCUCGGGGCCUGGGGUCAUGGCACGGGUGCUGUGCUGGGUGCACGCUCACCCGGCCGUGGGAGGUAGGGGUGCACACCCCAUACAUACACCCCAGCAGGACCCAGCUGCCUGCACACACGUGUGCACACAGCCUGCAGCACAGCACAGCCACACAAUGCACACAGACACUGUGCAGCACGGGUGCACGCCCGCACACACAUGUAUGUGCUAACACAGCCCCUGUGCCAUGGCUCAGCCGCACGUGUGCACCCCAGCACUGCACAGCCGUGUGCGUGCACACACACACACCCCACAGCUCAGCACAGCCACACACACACACACACUGACCCACCUGCACGGCGUUGGAGCACACACACACACGCACACACACACGUGUGCAGAGCACGGCGUGGCGAUGCACACCCACAGCCCAUGGGGGCUCACUGGCGCUGCACCCACCCCUGCUGUGUGCACACAAACACACGCCCCGUGCAGGGCCCCCAGCCUCUGUGCCUGCACAACGCGCACCCCAUUCGCACACGUCCCAGCCAGGCCCACGCCAGGCACACGCUGUCCCACAUAACAUAGCCCUGCAGCUGUGCACAGGCAGGAGGAGCUGGCCCUGCCAUGCCCGAUCACUUUGCUGUCCCCGUGCUCCCAAGCAAGCCCUGUGCCACUGGUUUGGGUCCAUGCAUCAGCGCAGGGCAGGGGAAUGCUGCACACCGAUCUGCAGCACUGGAGCUGCCUUCCUGGUGCCCUGCCAGGCGGAGCCUCCCCCAGUGUCUUGCUCUUGGCCCAGCAGAUGCUGGGGACACUUGGCCGGUGCCACCUUUGCCAGAGCGCGGCCAACCUCCAGCCCCCCAGCUCCA
rnacentral:lncRNA from 1 species